rnacentral:rRNA from 1 species
GACGAACGCUGGCGGCGUGCUUAACACAUGCAAGUCGAACGGAAAGGCCCUGCUUUUGUGGGGUGCUCGAGUGGCGAACGGGUGAGUAACACGUGAGUAACCUGCCCUUGACUUUGGGAUAACUUCAGGAAACUGGGGCUAAUACCGGAUAGGAGCUCCUGCUGCAUGGUGGGGGUUGGAAAGUUUCGGCGGUUGGGGAUGGACUCGCGGCUUAUCAGCUUGUUGGUGGGGUAGUGGCUUACCAAGGAUUUGACGGGUAGCCGGCCUGAGAGGGUGACCGGCCACAUUGGGACUAAGAUACGCCCCAGACUCCUACGGGAGGCAGAAGUGGGGAAUAUUACACAAUGGGCGGAAGCCUGAUGCAGCAACGCCGCGUGCGGGAUGACGGCCUUCGGGUUGUAAACCGCUUUCGCCUGUGACGAAGCGUGAGUGACGGUAAUGGGUAAAGAAGCACCGGCUAACUACGUA